rnacentral:misc_RNA from 1 species
UACAGAGGCCACGAGCGUUAGGCGGAAUCACUGGGCUUAAAGCGUGUGUAGGCGGAUGACUAAGUACCUUGUGAAAUCCCACGGCUCAACCGUGGAACUGCUUGGUAUACUGGUUGUCUUGAGGCACUCAGGGGCGAGCGGAACAAAUGGUGGAGCGGUGAAAUGCGUAGAUAUCAUUUGGAACGCCAAUGGUGAAGACAGCUCGCUGGGGGUGUACUGACACUGAGACACGAAAGCCAGGGGAGCGAACGGG